rnacentral:tRNA from 1 species
GCGGUUGUAGCAAAAUAGGUAAUGCAACGAUUUGUGAAAUCGUCAUUAGAGGUUCGAAUCCUCUCAGCCGCGCCA